CCCUGUCCUACUUCUAGCCAAUUGCAGCAGAUUUUUGGCGCUUCUGGAACUUUCCAAAUUGUAUUGGGAGUGUAGACGGAAGCAUGUCACGAUCAAGGAACCGCCAAAUGCUGGGAGUGAUUACUUCAAUUAUAAAGGAUCUCACCCCAUCGUCCUCAUGGCUACUUGUGAUGCAAGAUAUCGCUUAACCAUGGUUGACGUGGGAGGGUAUGGACGGGAGAGCGACAGCGGAUCUUGGCCCCGCACCCAUCGUUGCUGAUGCUGCCUUCCCCCUGCACAACAAUGCGCCCCUUUCCAGGUAUGUAACAAAAUAUACUAAGUCCACACGCUUUACAUUAUCUUUUCAAACCAUAACAUCGAAUGUCUGUGAGUGUGCUGCAUUUUGUCUUUUCGUGUCAAGUCAAAUAUUUGUGACUGUGGUGCAAUAAUGUGCCCGCAAUGUUAUUUUCUAUUUAAAUAAGAACUAUAUGGGGAAUAGAGAAGCAUAUCUUCAAUUACUGCAUCUCUAGAGCCAGACGGGUAAUUGAAAACCCCUUUGAGUUUAUGGCAGCACGGUGGCGAAUAUUUUGCCGGGCGAUUGAGUUCCGACCUGACAAUGCUGUGGAUGUCGUCAAAUCGUCAAAUCGAAUGCACCAGACAGCUGCUAUGUACCACCGCAAUUUACAGACACAGACUCUGCUGGAUCUGUACAGCUCGGUGAGUGGCGCAGAGUGGUGUCUGGAGAUGCCAGUAACCGUUCCAGCAAAGCUUAAUUUGAUUUAAGGAUGGACUUGAUGAGAUUAUUUCUUUCGUCAAAAGGAGCUGUGCCAUGGCAUGCUGACAUUGAGUCCCAUGGCACAUUUGGACAGUGAUGCUUAUAAACUUGCUUAAGCAACUUCUGUAAAUAAAC
ensembl:lncRNA